UGUUGCUGGAUGUUUAAAUCACACAAAUCGCCCUUUUUUGAUUCAGAAAUGAAGAGGCAGCAGUGCUGGCAAAUAAUCAUUCGCUACCUUGUAAGAUUUAAAUUUUGAUAUAGUUUAGUGGGACCACCGGUCGCCUACUUUAAAGCCACACUUUAAGCUCACUAAAGUCAGUAUCAGUUUUCUGUGCUUCCAUUUCUUCACCUCUGGUUCACUUGAUUAUCAAACAGGAACAAACAAAUGUCACUUUUAAGCUACGUGAUAAACUCUGUGUGUGGUUGACUGACACUGCGAAGCGGCUGUUGUUACCUCUUUUGGUUUCUGCUUUACAUUCUUAGCGACAGAGUCUAACUCUAUAACAGAGGAAAAAAAACAGAGGUGAAACUGUCACGGGGGUUCUGUGCAGAGAACUUUGUGCUGAUGCAGACAGCUUCACAUCCGUGUAACAAAGGAGAAAUCUGAUUUGAAAACUACAGUAUGUGCACUAACAUCACCAACAACACUGACACGACCUGCACAGUGGAUACUCUUCAGGGUUUGGCUUACUGUCCAUUGUUUUUGCUUGGUUUUCUUGUCAAUUUUAUGGCUCUGCGGGCCUGCAUUGCCCAGCGAUCAUCCUGGACAGAUACCCACAUCUACAUGUUGAACUUGGCUGCAGCUGACUCCACCCUCCUCCUCUUUCUUCCCUUCAGGAUCUACGAUGCCUUCUUCUGCCUGCCCAAGACUUCCCUCUGUACAUUCCUUUUCAGCAUACAUUACAUCAAUGUGUACGCCAGCAUUUUCACCUCAGCAGCCAUCAGUGUGCAUCGAUACCUGGCUAUAAGGUUCCCAAUGCGUGCCAGAUCAUGGAGGAAGAAGAAAGAGGUUGCCUUUGCUGUUUGUGUGGCUAUUUGGGUGUUUGUGGUGACAAUAUGUGCUAUAUUCAAAGAGAAUAACUCCCCUGAAAAACUCUUGACUUGUUAUGAAAGAUGCAGGGAACACCGUCUUGAAUUACUGUUUGUUGUCAUCCUGGUAUCUGCAGGCUUCCUUGUCCCACUCUUGAUAAUUGUUUUCUGUUCCAGUCAGAUCAUUCAUAUUCUGUUAAAGGGGGACGCCAAGUCAGAGGAGAGGAAAAAUUCAAUUGGCAUUGUUACAGCAAACAUGAUUGUAUUUAUCAUCUGCUACACACCCAUCCACCUAAGGUUAGCCGUCAAAGUGUUUGUUAAACUGCCCCCACACUACUGGUCCGAACAGAUAUUUUUAGCUGUGUCUCAAUGGAUUGCUUCUACAAACUGCUGCUUUGAUUCCAUCAGCUACUACUUUUUAUUGAAACGUUUUUAUUCAUAACUUUGAGAUUCUAAAUAAUAAUAUAAAUAAAAUAAUCUUUUGAGGUUUU